rnacentral:rRNA from 1 species
UACAGAGACUGCAAGCGUUAUUCGGAUUCACUGGGCGUAAAGGGUGCGCAGGCGGCCGUGUGUGUGAGAUGUGAAAUCCCGGAGCUUAACUCCGGAACUGCGUCUCAAACUACACGGCUAGAGCAUUGGAGAGGGAAGUGGAAUUCACGGUGUAGCAGUGAAAUGCGUAGAUAUCGUGAGGAACACCAGAGGCGAAGGCGACUUCCUGGACAAUUGCUGACGCUCAGGCACGAAAGCGUGGGGAGCAAAAGGGAUUAGAUACCCCUGUAGUCCACGCCCUAAACGGUGCAUACUAGGUUUUGGAGGAUUCGACCCCUUCAGGACCCAAGCUAACGCGUUAAGUAUGCCGCCUGAGGACUACGGCCGCAAGGCUAAA